AGUGAACGCUGGCGGUAGGCCUAACACAUGCAAGUCGAACGGCAGCACAGUAAGAGCUUGCUCUUACGGGUGGCGAGUGGCGGACGGGUGAGGAAUACAUCGGAAUCUACUUUUUCGUGGGGGAUAACGUAGGGAAACUUACGCUAAUACCGCAUACGACCUACGGGUGAAAGCAGGGGAUCUUCGGACCUUGCGCGAUUGAAUGAGCCGAUGUCGGAUUAGCUAGUUGGCGGGGUAAAGGCCCACCAAGGCGACGAUCCGUAGCUGGUCUGAGAGGAUGAUCAGCCACACUGGAACAGAGACACGGUCCAGACUCCUACGGGAGGCAGCAGUGGGGAAUAUUGGACAAUGGGCGCAAGCCUGAUCCAGCCAGACCGCGUGGGUGAAGAAGGCCUUCGGGUUGUAAAGCCCUUUUGUUGGGAAAGAAAAGCAGCAGGUUAAUACCCCGCUGUUCUGACGGUACCCAAAGAAUAAGCACCGGCUAACUU
rnacentral:rRNA from 1 species